ACCCACUAGCCCCGCAGUACAACACUAAAGUGCAAAUUUAGAAACGCACCCGAAAGAGUGCCGGGGCUU
rnacentral:tRNA from 1 species